GGGAAAGUAGGAUAUUUGGGACCAGAGGCCAGCCUUUCUGCUCUCUUCAGCAGAUCUCUGCAAUUUAUAACCCCAGACAGUGCCUUGAGACCAGUGAGAGAACUGAACACUGUAUAAUUAUGACCAAGCUAGAGCCCAAAGAUUUGCAGAAGUGCAAAUGUGGUGCAGAGACGGUAGACUGUGAGUGUGAAAUAUUGACUAUACUGGUGGA